AACAAUAAGCAUGAGCGUAGAGGCCAAGAAGAUCAAGAUCAUGGACAUAACAAUCCCCUUCAAGAACUGGCGCCAAGCCUUCACCGAUGCCCGGGCUCGCAAGCAGGAGAAGUACGCCCCGCUAGCU